GAUCCUGGCUCAGGAUGAACGCUAGCGGCAGGCUUAACACAUGCAAGUCGAGGGGCAGCGAGAUCAAAGCUUGCUUUGGUUGUCGGCGACCGGCGCACGGGUGCGUAACGCGUAUGCAACCUACCCACUACAGGGGGAUAACACUGAGAAAUCGGUACUAAUACCCACAUAAUAUCGUUAGGAAGGCAUUCCUUCCGGUAGGGUUAAGAAAACCGUCCGGGUGGUAGGUGGAGUGGGCAUGCGUUGUAUUAGCUUGGG
rnacentral:rRNA from 1 species